rnacentral:rRNA from 1 species
GCCAUGCUAGUUGCACGAGUUUAGACUCGUAGCAGAUAGCUCAGUAACACGUGGCCAAACUACCCUAUGGACCCGGAUAACCUCGGGAAACUGAGGCUAAUCCGGGAUACGGUUCGCAGCCUGGAAGUGGCGCGAACCCGAAACGUCCCGGCGCCAUAGGAUGUGGCUGCGGCCGAUUAGGUAGACGGUGGGGUAACGGCCCACCGUGCCGAUAAUCGGUACGGGUUGUGAGAGCAAGGGCCCGGAGACGGAAUCUGAGACAAGAUUCCGGGCCCUACGGGGCGCAGCAGGCGCGAAACCUUUACACUGCACGAGAGUGCGAUAAGGGGACUCCAAGUGCGAGGGCAUAUAGUCCUCGCUUUUCACCACCGUAAGGAGGUGGUAGAAUAAGUGCUGGGCAAGACCGGUGCCAGCCGCCGCGGUAAUACCGGCAGCACAAGUGAUGACCGCUAUUAUUGGGCCUAAAGCGUCCGUAGCUGGCCACGCAAGUCCAUCGGGAAAUCCGCGCGCUUAACGUGCGGGCGUCCGGUAGAAACUGCGUGGCUUGGGACCGGAAGAUCCAGAGGGUACGUCUGGGGUAGGAGUGAAAUCCCGUAAUCCUGGACGGACCACCGGUGGCGAAAGCGCUCUGGAAGGACGGAUCCGACGGUGAGGGACGAAAGCUUGGGUCACGAACCGGAUUAGAUACCCGGGUAGUCCAAGCUGUAAACGAUGUCUGCUAGGUGUGACACAGGCUACGAGCCUGUGUUGUGCCGUAGGGAAGCCGUGAAGCAGACCGCCUGGGAAGUACGUCCGCAAGGAUGAAACUUAA